rnacentral:rRNA from 1 species
GAACGGGUGAGUAACACGUGAGUAACCUGCCCCAGGCUUUGGGAUAACCCUCGGAAACGGGGGCUAAUACCGGAUAUUCAUUCCGCGUGGCAUCACGUGGUGUGGAAAGUUUUUCGGCUUGGGAUGGGCUCGCGGCCUAUCAGCUUGUUGGUGGGGUGAUGGCCUACCAAGGCGACGACGGGUAGCCGGCCUGAGAGGGCGACCGGCCACACUGGGACUGAGACACGGCCCAGACUCCUACGGGAGGCAGCAGUGGGGAAUAUUGCACAAUGGGCGGAAGCCUGAUGCAGCGACGCCGCGUGAGGGAUGAAGGCCUUCGGGUUGUAAACCUCUUUCGACAGGGACGAAGCGCAAGUGACGGUACCUGGAGAAGAAGCGCCGGCCAACUACGUGCCAGCAGCCGCGGUAAGACGUAGGGCGCGAGCGUUGUCCGGAUUUAUUGGGCGUAAAGAGCUCGUAGGCGGCUUGUUGCGUCAGCUGUGAAAACCCGCAGCUCAACUGUGGGCUUGCAGCUGAUACGGGCAGGCUUGAGUUCGGUAGGGGAGACUGGAAUUCCUGGU